CUGACCUGUGUGUGGGUCAACGGGCGAGUAAACCCGAAAGGGGUAAGGAAGCUGAUUGGUAGGAUCCUCCUGAGGGGUGCACCGCCGAUCGACCGUGAUAUUUUUAGAAGCAUUCGAGUGUGAGCAUACCUGUCGAGACUCGAAAGAUGGUUAAUUAUGCCUGAGCUGGGCGAAGCCAGAGGAAACUCUAGGGGAGGCCCGCAGCGAUACUGACGUGCAAAUCAUUCGUUUGACAAGGGUCGCUCGGACCUCUCAAAUCAUAGCGUUGG
rnacentral:ncRNA from 2 species